CAAUGGCAAUAAAGUUGAAUUCUAUACUAUUCUAUUCUUUGUUGUGGUUGAUGUUGAGUGUAUUUUUCCUUUUUUGCAUGCUUUUACUGUAUUUAUUGGGACGUCCUCCGGAGAGACUCCUCCCCCCUGCUUUCCCUAACUAAUUAGAUACACCUGGAGGGCACAGGGGACAUCAAUCAAUCAGACCUCCUUAGUUGGCAGCGAGAGGCCAAUAAGAGGGCCUGGCAGGUCGGAAAAGGGGACGCGGCCGCAGGAGAAGAGAGCGGGCCCUUGGUAAGUUCAUGGCAGACUUCUUCCACGGUGGCGGCCGCAGUUUGGAGCUCUGCCCUCCCGGGAAGCGGGAGCGGAGUGGCCCGACGAAGGACGCUGGCGGCCUGGCCCUACUGGUGGACACAAGAAGUGUGGCGGAUUUGGACCCUUGGGACUUUGGCUCGCUGACUGAGGAACACUUUUUUUUUUUCUUUUUCAAAUUGUGCUGAGUUUUACGUUGUUUCGAUUAUUCUCUUCCCUGAUCAGAGUAUUUUUUAAUGCUGUAAGUAAAGUGUAUUUUUAUUGACUAUUUUAACCGGGUUUACACAUCUUUCUGUUCCCGUGAUCAUCCCCUGCUGCUAUUUCCGUUUUAGUUCCCUUCUAGUAUACAUCCGUGACAUGCAUAUGUGCUUUCCUCUAUAAAAUACUUUACUCUCUGAUCUGGCCUGAAAAGUUUCUUAAUUGUAAGAAUUUUUAGAAGGCUGAAAAGGAACCUCAAGGAGGGGCUUCUCAUAACGACUUGAAUUACACUAUGCUCCGAUGUGCACAAAAUAAAAAGUGAUGGAAUGAUACCACAGACAUAACAGAGUUAAUGACACUUUAUAGAUUCAUUUGUAAUGGGACGCUGGUUGAAGUUAUGGUAAAAAUCCUUCAACUUUAAUUAUUAAGAAAUGAAAAUGUCAUUUGUAAAUGACCAGAAGCAUCUAAUAACUGUUGCUCUCAGCCUGGGGAACAUAAAAAUAACAUUUGCUCCACACUACUCUCCAACUGUCUAGGAGAGUUUUUCUCUCCUCCACCCAGCUGUUCAAAGUUUUAUAUGAUGUUGGGAUUUAUUUUUUAUUUUAAGGCCAAUAUCUCAUAAUUGGCAUCACAUAUGUGUUUUUAUACUUUUCUGAUUAGAUCUGUGUCCUCGUUUGUUUUGUAGUCUUGCUGCUUGACUUAUCAGAAACUUUUCACAGGUGAAUAUCUAAACUGCGCAGAGGAACAUUUAUUUCUAAAUUCCAAGCUAGCUAACUUGUCUAGUGGAAGUGCAUUUU